UUUUUUUUUUCCAAAGGGUGUCUUUGUAUAUAUAACAUCCAAACAGCAUCAUCCAUCAAUGGAGAAUCCAUGUUGGAGAGGCAAGUACAAGAUACAACAACAAAUUUUACAAUCAACCAAAUACAAGUAAAGUACAACCCAUUCUGCCACUAAAGGGAACGUUGUGAAAUGGUAGCUUGUUAACAGCAACAUCAUAACUAAUCUCAAUAAGACCAAACAUCAAAACUCAAAGGUUUAGAGCUGAUCUUAUAGCUUCCAUCAUAUGCUUGUAGUAUGGUUGCUUCUUGCUCACCAUCUUAACAUCCGAGCAGGGUGAUAACUUCUAUUCUGAUUAUAAAACAACUAAACAGAUAAAAGCAUAAAACUAAAACAAUCUACACUAGAAGCUUAACCCUGAUUAAAAAGCCAAACUAAAAUAAAAUAUCAAAAGCGAUAACAAAGAGAUAAGGAUGAAUCCACGUGUUGCACAAUCAGCCAAAGAAAAGGUGAGUCAUCAAAGUGGCCUGAGUAAUGAUGCCAGCAAAAUGGAGUCACCGGAACAUCUUCUCCGGUACACUGAAAACCGUCACAGAACCUUCAAAACCACUGUGCCCAAACUAAUUCUAAAGCAACAAAAGCAUCCUGAACUGCUAAAAGAAACAUCUUCUUUUUUAUUCAUUAUGUCACAAAACGAAGACUGAGAUAUUGCUUCAAAAACCUGCAGCUUCCCAACAAAUCAAGUCAAAGGAUGGUUCGAAAAACAGAUCCAAAAUCCCAAUUUUUUUAUGCACCAACAGAGACUCGAAUCGAAGUGAAUUCUCCAAGGCAAAGGAAGCUGUCGGAACCUUCGAGAAGAAGCAACUUCACAAACAACAAAAACCAAAUCAAAAGAUAAACCGAAGCUAGACGAAUCACAGAGACGAGACAGUGAAACCCUAGACGAAAACCGACCAUGAUGUCGCCGAAAGAGCCGACACAUGCCGGACUCAAGCCGUCCAUCACCGUAAAAAGAAACGGUCAAUGACGGAAAUGAUAGACGACCCAACCAUCGCAUAAUAAGCCGGUGGUUGUCGGACUGAAACCGGUUGCAACAACCGGACGGCUUUGCCGGAAUUAACCGGACGGCUUUACCGGAAAUAUCCGGACGGCGGAAGAAACAGAGUUUCUCUCUCUAAAAGAUUUAAGAGAGAGAAGAGAGAAAAACCUUA
rnacentral:lncRNA from 1 species